GAGUUUGAUCAUGGCUCAGAUUGAACGCUGGCGGCAGGCCUAACACAUGCAAGUCGAACGGUAACAGGAAGCAGCUUGCUGCUUCGCUGACGAGUGGCGGACGGGUGAGUAAUGUCUGGGAAGCUGCCUGAUGGAGGGGGAUAACUACUGGAAACGGUAGCUAAUACCGCAUAAUGUCGCAAGACCAAAGAGGGGGACCUUCGGGCCUCUUGCCAUCGGAUGUGCCCAGAUGGGAUUAGCUUGUUGGUGGGGUAACGGCUCACCAAGGCGACGAUCCCUAGCUGGUCUGAGAGGAUGACCAGCCACACUGGAACUGAGACACGGUCCAGACUCCUACGGGAGGCAGCAGUGGGGAAUAUUGCACAAUGGGCGCAAGCCUGAUGCAGCCAUGCCGCGUGUAUGAAGAAGGCCUUCGGGUUGUAAGGUACUUUCAGCGGGGAGGAAGGGAGUAAAGUUAAUACCUUUGCUCAUUGACGUUACCCGCAGAAGAAGCACCGGCUAACUCCGUGCCAGCAGCCGCGGUAAUACGGAGGGUGCAAGCGUUAAUCGGAAUUACUGGGCGUAAAGCGCACGCAGGCGGUUUGUUAAGUCAGAUGUGAAAUCCCCGGGCUCAACCUGGGAACUGCAUCUGAUACUGGCAAGCUUGAGUCUCGUAGAGGGGGGUAGAAUUCCAGGUGUAGCGGUGAAAUGCGUAGAGAUCUGGAGGAAUACCGGUGGCGAAGGCGGCCCCCUGGACGAAGACUGACGCUCAGGUGCGAAAGCGUGGGGAGCAAACAGGAUUAGAUACCCUGGUAGUCCACGCCGUAAACGAUGUCGACUUGGAGGUUGUGCCCUUGAGGCGUGGCUUCCGGAGCUAACGCGUUAAGUCGACCGCCUGGGGAGUACGGCCGCAAGGUUAAAACUCAAAUGAAUUGACGGGGGCCCGCACAAGCGGUGGAGCAUGUGGUUUAAUUCGAUGCAACGCGAAGAACCUUACCUGGUCUUGACAUCCACGGAAGUUUUCAGAGAUGAGAAUGUGCCUUCGGGAACCGUGAGACAGGUGCUGCAAGGCUGUCGUCAGCUCGUGUUGUGAAAUGUUGGGUUAAGUCCCGCAACGAGCGCAACCCUUAUCCUUUGUUGCCAGCGGUCCGGCCGGGAACUCAAAGGAGACUGCCAGUGAUAAACUGGAGGAAGGUGGGGAUGACGUCAAGUCAUCAUGGCCCUUACGACCAGGGCUACACACGUGCUACAAUGGCGCAUACAAAGAGAAGCGCCUCGCGAGAGCAAGCGGACCUCAUAAAGUGCGUCGUAGUCCGGAUUGGAGUCUGCAACUCGACUCCAUGAAGUCGGAAUCGCUAGUAAUCGUGGAUCAGAAUGCCACGGUGAAUACGUUCCCGGGCCUUGUACACACCGCCCGUCACACCAUGGGAGUGGGUUGCAAAAGAAGUAGGUAGCUUAACCUUCGGGAGGGCGCUUACCACUUUGUGAUUCAUGACUGGGGUGAAGUCGAAACAAGGUA
rnacentral:rRNA from 1 species